rnacentral:rRNA from 1 species
CCUACGGGAGGCUGCAGUGGGGAAUAUUGGACAAUGGGGGCAACCCUGAUCCAGCCAUGCCGCGUGUGUGAAGAAGGCCCUCGGGUUGUAAAGCACUUUCAGUGAGGAAGAACGCCUGGUGGUUAAUACCCAUCAGGAAAGACAUCACUCACAGAAAAAGCACCGGCUAACUCCGUGCCAGCAGCCGCGGUAAUACGGAGGGUGCGAGCGUUAAUCGGAAUUACUGGGCGUAAAGCGCGCGUAGGUGGCUUGAUAAGCCGGUUGUGAAAGCCCCGGGCUCAACCUGGGAACGGCAUCCGGAACUGUCAAGCUAGAGUGCAGGAGAGGAAGGUAGAAUUCCCGGUGUAGCGGUGAAAUGCGUAGAGAUCGGGAGGAAUACCAGUGGCGAAGGCGGCCUUCUGGACUGACACUGACACUGAGGUGCGAAAGCGUGGGUAGCAAACAGGAUUAGAUACCCUGGUAGUC